rnacentral:rRNA from 3 species
GGGUUGUGAGGUUAAGCGACUAAGCGUACACGGUGGAUGCCCUGGCAGUCAGAGGCGAUGAAGGGCGUGCUAAUCUGCGAUAAGCGCCGGUAAGGUGAUAUGAACCGUUAUAACCGGCGAUACCCGAAUGGGG